rnacentral:rRNA from 1 species
UACGGGAGGCAGCAGUGGGGAAUUUUGCCCAAUGGGGGAAACCCUGACGCAGCAACGCCGCUUGGGGGAUGAAGCCCUUUGGGUUUAAACUCCUUCGACCGGACGAUAAUGACGUACC